rnacentral:rRNA from 1 species
CCUACGGGUGGCAGCAGUGAGGAAUAUUGGUCAAUGGGCGCGAGCCUGAACCAGCCAAGUAGCGUGAAGGAUGACUGCCCUACGGGUUGUAAACUUCUUUUAUAAAGGAAUAAAGUGAUGCUCGCGUGCCUUUUUGUAUGUACUUUAUGAAUAAGGCUCGGCGUACUUCGUGCCAGCAGCCGCGGUAAUACGGAGGAUCCGAGCGUUAUCCGGAUUUUUUGGGUUUUAAGGGAGCGUAGAUGGGUUGUUAAGUCAGGUGUGAAAGUUUGCGGCUCAACCGUAAAAUUGCAAUUGAUACUGGCAGCCUUGAGUACAGUUGAGGUAGGCGGAAUGCGUGGUGUAGCGGUGAAAUGCUUAGAUAUCACGAAGAACUCCGAUUGCGAAGGCAGCUUACUAAACUGCCACUGACAUUGAUGCUCGAAAGUGUGGGUAUCAAACAGGAUUAGAUACCCGAGUAGUC